rnacentral:lncRNA from 1 species
GUGCUAUAUAAAGAUUAAUUAACAAAGAUUGACACGCGUAGUUGUAAAAUAAAUUAAGCCGAUUAAUCAAAUUAACAAAGUUAACCAUCAAAAGUUUAAAAGAAAAAUUCAGCAAUUUAACAUUUUUUUUAGAUUAAAAAAUUAGAUUACCAAAUUAAGACGAAGUAAGCCAGACGAAUAAGAGUAGGUUGAUCCUACUUCUUCUCUCAAACAAGUCAAACAACAGAACGUAGAACUGCUGGAUGUUACCAAGAAAUUGAUGUCUUGUAAAGAUAACUGUUGACAGUCAUAGUGGUACCACGAAUUGCAAGAGUCACACUGUACUGAGUUCUUGGUGCAAUUCUGUCUGCAGUCACCACAUGGCCAGAAAACCGACCUUUUUAGGUACGAAAUUUUGCGUUUUGGCAUGUUGACUUUGUAGAUAAACUUUAGUACUUUGAUGAUAAAUUUUGUGAGAAUUUU